rnacentral:sRNA from 1 species
UCGGGUGGGAGGCGAUAGGGCCUCUGAA